rnacentral:lncRNA from 1 species
UUGGUUUCAACUAGGUAAUUCCUGGAGAUCGGACUUUAGAUUUUUCACACAGUUUUGUAUAUUUGGAAUUUUUUUCUUUACUAAUUGUACUAUACAUUGACUCUUUAUUUAGGUAUUUUUCCUUCCAAUUAUGUGAAAUCACAUUACUAUUUUUUCUAAAUUUAUUAUUGUGAAUUUACUAUUGUAUUAGAUAUAUAUGGACUCAUUGGUUUAAUCUGAAGCGUUACAUCGUCAUAAAAUUCAAAGGUAUAUACUGUUCUUCUUUUUUCCCCCUGAUU